rnacentral:rRNA from 1 species
AAUGAAUUUAAAUUAAAUGGCCGCAGUAUUUUGACUGUGCAAAGGUAGCAUAAUCACUAGUCUUUUAAUUGAAGGCUUGAAUGAAUGGUUGGACGAAGUAUAAUCUGUUUCAUUUAAAUUUAUUAUAGAAUUUUAUAUUUUAGUAAAAAAGCUAAAAUAUUUUUAAAAGACGAGAAGACCCUAUAAAUCUUUAUAAUUUAUUUUUUUUUUAUUUUUUUGAUUAGUUUUGUUUAAAUAAUUUAAAUUAUUUUGUUGGGGUGAUAUUAAAAUUUAAAAAACUUUUAAUUAAUUUUUUUUUCAUUAAUUUAUGUUUUAUUGAUCCAUUAAUAAUGAUUAUAAGAAUAAGUUACUUUAGGGAUAACAGCGUAAUUUUUUUGGAGAGUUCUUAUUGAUAAAAAAGUUUGCGACCUCGAUGUUGGAUUAAGAUAUAAUUUUAGGUGUAGUCGCUUAAA